rnacentral:rRNA from 1 species
CAGCGCCACGAGUGGCAAUCACGAUUAUUGGGCCUAAAGCGUCCGUAGCCGGUUUGAUAAGUCUUUUGUGAAAUCGUUGGGCUUAACUUAACGAUGUGCAAGAGAGACUGUUAAACUUGGAACCGGGAAGGGUCAGAGGUAUUCUGGGGGGAGCGGUAAAAUGCUAUAAUCCCCAGAGGACCACCUGUGGCGAAGGCGUCUGACUAGAACGGCUUCGACGGUGAGGGACGAAAGCUGAGGGAGCAAUCCGGAUUAGAUACCCGAGUAGCC